UACGUAGGGGGCUAGCGUUGUCCGGAUUUAUUGGGCGUAAAGAGCGUGUAGGCGGCCUGGUAGGUCUGCUGUGAAAACUCGAGGCUCAACCUCGAGAUGUCGGCGGAAACCAUCUGGCUAGAGUCCGGAAGAGGAGAGUGGAAUUCCUGGUGUAGCGGUGAAAUGCGCAGAUAUCAGGAAGAACACCUAUGGCGAAGGCAGGUCUCUGGGCCUUACCUGACGCUGAGGAGCGAAAGCGUGGGGAGCGAACAGG
rnacentral:rRNA from 1 species